rnacentral:RNase_P_RNA from 1 species
CGAGCCGGCCGGGCGGCCGCGUCGGGGUUCUUCGGGAUCCCGCCGAGGAACGUCCGGGCUCCACAGGGCAGGGUGGUGGGUAACGCCCACCCGGGGUGACCCGCGGGACAGUGCCACAGAAAACAGACCGCCGGGGACCUCGGUCCUCGGUAAGGGUGAAACGGUGGUGUAAGAGACCACCAGUGCCCAGGGUGACCUGGGCAGCUCGGUAAACCCCACCCGGAGCAAGGUCAAGAGGAGCCGCCUUUGGCGGCUCUGCGCGGACGAUCGAGGGCUGCCCGCCCGAGUCCGCGGGUAGACCGCACGAGGCCGACGGCAACGCCGGUCCUAGAUGGAUGGCCGCCUCCCCACGGGCCGCAAGGCCCGCGGGAGACAGAACCCGGCGUACAGGCCGACUCGUCCG